AAACAACGUGGUAUAAGGAAAAUAUACGUGCGGGCGAUGGUGAUCAAUCGUUAUUAGUUGGAGGAAAGCAAGUACUGUGCUUGGUUCUUCAAUUAAGAAACACAAUAGAAUUUUUCCCGCUUUGUGUUAGGUUAAUCACGGGAAGUAGCCUGAGAACAGUGAAGAUAGUUCGUCCAGCCAAGAAAUGGAAGAGAGUUGCCAGGUUUGCAAUCGGAAAAUUUCGAGUCUUAAUGAUGGUACCAGUUCCAUCUGAACUCGGCGUUUCUGAAAUGAAGCCUUCCGAAGCUCUGAACUGUAGCAACUGUAUUUUACUGGCUAAAUUUUGUGAAUAUAAAGAUGGACAUUACUUCUUCACAUCUUAAUACUAUAACAGAGGUGGAAAAGUGUUCUACAAUGGCAGCUGAAAAGUUAAAACGUUGGACACCUAUUUUUGGCUCGCUUUUGGCUGGUAUAGGAGAAGAUGAAUGCGAAAAAAUUGAAAGUGCCUUGCUUAGUGGAGCGGAGCUUACAGAAGUGUUAAUGAAUCAUGUUGUGGAUGCCCAUGAAAAUUAAUCAAAGAAGAAUUAACGCAGAAGCUCCAAAAGAUGGAUAACUUGCAAAGGUCGAUCAAAGAUGUUCUGUGGAUAGAUCCGAUCAACAGCGCUAAGACAUCUGCUGAGACCAAAGCCCCUAUACCUGUCGCUAAAACUAAAUGUAACAGCCUGUCUUCAAAACAACCUUCCUUUAAGGCAUUACGUGAUUAUCUGUUGGAUAAACACAGUUUCUCAACGAUCUUAUUUCUUUUCGCAGUAUCUCAUUUUCUUUUCUACUUGUUUCUGUAUCCAGAGCUUCAUGUAACUGCUUUUCGAGUGACAUUUCAAAAAAUUGUGGUACACUUAAUGACUUGGAUCGUAAUAAUGAUAUGUGUCAUAAUAGAGCUCUGUAUGAAUUAAGACUUUAAUUCUAAAAAUUUGUUUGCGUUUAAGUUUCUCCCUCUUUAAAAUAUCUUUCUAAGAUGAUAUUUUUAAUAACAUCAAUAAAGUACUUUAUUUGGUAAA